GAUGAAAACGUAGCGAAAUGCGAUAAGUAAUGUGAAUUGCAGAAUUCAGUGAAUCAUCGAAUCUUUGAACGCACAUUGCGCCCCUUGGUAUUCCGAGGGGCAUGCCUGUUCGAGCGUCAUAUUAACCACUCCCGCUUGCGGGGUCUUGGGCUUCGCCUCCGGGCGGGCCUUAAAAUCAGUGGCGGUGCCGUCGGGCUCUACGCGUAGUAAAUUUUCUCGCGAUAGGGUCCCGGUGGAUGCUUGCCAACAACCCCCAACUUCUUAAGGUUGACCUCGGAUCAGGUAGGGAUACCCGCUGAACUUAAGCAUAUCAAUAAGCGGAGGA
rnacentral:misc_RNA from 1 species